GACGAACGCUGGCGGCUUUCUUCCCCCCUUCCAUUCGCACGUACAUGCCCUUCUUUUUUUUUUUGCUCUCUUGUCGAACGGUUUCUUCCCACGUUAGUCCCCUUCCCUUUACUUUGGGAUAACUUCCUUCCACUGGGGCUAAUACCUUCUAUGCGCUCCUGCUUCCUUGUUUGGGUUGUAAAUUUUCGGCGGUUGGGGAUGGACUCGCGGCUUAUCAGCUUGUUGGUGGGGUAGUGGCUUACCAAGGCUUUGACGGGUAGCCGGCCUGAGAGGGUUACCGGAAACAUGGGGACGGAGAUACGGCCAAGACUCCUACGGGAGGCAGCAGGGGGGAAUAUUGCACAAUGGGCGGAAGCCUGAUGCAGCAACGCCGCGUGAGGGAGGAAGGAAGGCGGGUUGUAAACCGCUUUAGCCGGUGACGAAGCGGGAGUGACGGUAAUGGGUAAAGAAGCAAAGGCUAACUACGUG
rnacentral:rRNA from 1 species